rnacentral:rRNA from 1 species
GGUCAAGUGAAUAAGAGCAUGUGGUGGAUGCCUUGGCAAUGAUAGGCGACGAAAGACGUGAAAGCCUGCGAUAAGCUUCGGGGAGCUGGCAAAUAAGCUUGAUCCGGAGAUUUCUGA